rnacentral:ribozyme from 1 species
UACUAAGACCUAGUCUAUUCUUCUUAACAUAUCAGUUUUUAUUUCGGUAGUAAUUUGAUACAUAAAACUUUUAUAGAAAAAAUCAUAAUGGUCAUGACGUCAUACGUAAUU